AAAAAUGUUCCUACUUUGGAGUGAAGGUAAAGUUUCAAAUUACCCAGCCAAUUUUGUUUUUCAGUUACAUGAUAAUCUUCUUCAUACCACAGACCUUUCAUUUAUGAAUUUCAGUUAUUCUGUCAGGUGAAUCAUGAACCUUGAUAUUAGAGGGAAAAAAAAAAACUUACCCUGUAAAAGUUUUUACUUACUCAAUAUCAGUUUGGAUGUUUUUUUCUGAAUUUUGUUCAUGUGGAAACUUAAUUCCAGGACAUCUUGAUUUGAAUCAGGUAAACCAAUCAAGCAAUUUAAAAAGAGAUAAAUGGCCAAGUCAGUUCCUAUUUAAACUGAAUGUAUUAAAUGCUUACCAGUGAAAUUUCUGGAGAUUAGUAGAAUAUUUAGUGCAAUUCUAAAGCUUCUGCUCUCAAAUUCUGUCUUUGGCAUGACAUAAUAGCUGAAAAUUUUUUCUUUUAGGUUGUUGGUUCAUAAUGUAGAAUUAAUGUAUUUUAAUAUAAGCAUGAUAUUUAUGAUCAAAAGGA
rnacentral:lncRNA from 1 species